AGUCAAAUUUUCUAAUCCUUGCGCGUAUAUAGUCGUAUAUUUUAACACGAUACGGUAUAACGAAGAACAACACUCAGUAUUACAAUCAGUGCCGCCCUUGCAGGGCAAAAUAUAUAUUGCCGCCCUAUGCAAAUGUUAUUAGGGAAUUAUCAGUAAGAGUCUAUAUUGCCACAAUUCUCUCAAUCCUAGUCUCGGCCGCAUCUAUCUC